rnacentral:lncRNA from 1 species
CUAUGAGGAGAACAAGGCGUUCUUGGCUCCCACCGUGAGUGGAGCCACUGAAGCAGGAACACACGGUGGCCAUGAAUGACAGCGGGUGCCAUGAACGACGGCAGGCAUCUUUGUUCCUCAGGCAAGUUGUUUCUGGGGAGACCAGAGUGUGCUGACUUCAGUAAAUAGACCACCCAUGUGUGUUCCGCCACAGACACCGCAACUCCAGGCAGUCACCACUGUUACACCCACAAGGGACACAAGUAGUACUGUUGCCAAGUCAACCAGGGUGUGGCCAGAGGGAGAGCUGUGUUCUAGGCCUGAAGCUGGCUUCUUGAUGGAGGAGCUUGGGCAAGGAGGCCCACGCUGUCCACUCCUGCUCGUGGCAGCUCCCGCUCGUGGCUUUGUUUUGGUAAUCCAGGAGCGGGCUUCACGGCCAGAAAGUUACCAACUCAUAAAGGAACAGCUCAAAGGACACAGCCCCAAAAGUCAAACAAGAGAGUUCCAGAAAUAGACUGAGGUAUGCAGAGCAGACAGACAGACAGACACUCAGGGGCAAGGAGGGGGAACUGAGCAAAGGACAGGUGGUGCCAGACAGAGCUUCCCUCAGCAGUAAUUAACAGGGAGAUCCAUAAGUUCCUUUCUUUUACAUAGGAAGUCUACUGUGUGUGUGUCUGUGUGUGUGUCUGUGUGUAUCUGGGUAUGUGUAUGUAUCUCUCUCUCUGUGUCUCUGUGUGUGUAUAUCUCUGUGAGUGUGUGUGUGUGUCUCUGUGUGUGUAUGUCUCUCUGUGUGUGUCUGUGUGUGUGUGUGUGUGUCUAUGUGUGUGUGUGUGUGUGUGUGUGUAUGUGUGUGUAUGUCUUUCUGUGUGUGUGUGUGUGUGUGUGUGUGUGUGUGUGUGUUUGGUGGGAAGCCAGUUUCCCCCUCCUAGGGAUCUCAGAGUGCUUACAAGAUAUCAGACCUGACAAGACGCUGUGGAAUAAAUAAUCAACAAGACUUAGCCUCCUCCUCUCCUGUUCUCAGAAGAGGCAACCAUCAUGUCUGGCCUCCCAGCAUCAAGGGCUGGGGAAGGCCUGAUACACUGAGCAGAAUGAUAAUGGUUCUAGUCGCCCUUGACUCAGGACCACAUGAAAGGACUCUGCCCCGGGCUGGGGCUUCCUUGUUGACAGUGUAGCGGUCCUGAUGCCUUCUGGAAAAGUCAAGUUGACAACAGAGGCAGAAACGACCUGUAAAUUGAAGGACACACCCUAGACUGGGAGGAUUUUAAUCUUGAUCUUGGCUGAUGCGGGGCCUUGUCUGUGUGUAGAAUGGAGAAGAGAAUUCUACGGCUGCGUCAUCGUCUGUCCUUUGUUCGGCGGGUAGACCCAGCGAUAGGCGUCACCCUGCUUCCAGUCUGCCCUGACUGCAGGGCAGGUGCCUUGUCUUACAUUUGUGUCCCUGAGAUUUGCACACACAUCUAA